rnacentral:rRNA from 1 species
UACGUAGGAUGCAAGCGUUGUCCGGAAUUAUUGGGCGUAAAGAGCGCGCAGGCGGUUUGGCAAGUUGGCCGUGAAAUUUUAGGGCUUAACCCUAAAGGUUCGUCCAAAACUCCCAGACUAGAGUGCAGGAGAGGAAAGCGGAAUUCCCGGUGUAGUGGUGAAAUGCGUAGAUAUCGGGAGGAACACCAGAGGCGAAGGCGGCUUUCUGGCCUGUAACUGACGCUGAGGCGCGAAGGCUGGGGUAGCGAACAGG